ensembl:lncRNA
CUGGAGCACUUCUGUUGUCUUUUGUGUUUGGCCACGGGAAAGCUAACGGGGAACCUACGUGGGCCCUGCUGCUGACAGCUCUGAUAGCUGAGCUGGGGAUUCUCAUCGCAUCUCUGGACAUGGUGGCUCCUGUUCUGACAAUGUUUCCGGUUUCCUUCUGUGCAGGAUAACUUGAGGCGUUUCUGGGAGAGGUUUGUGAGAGAGGAUCUGUUGAAGGUAAAUCCUCCACAUUGUACUUUUCAGCAAAUUAUUGUUCCCAUUCAUGUUGUUGAUACUCUACAGUAAUAGGGUGUGACAUAAAACUGUUGCUUCAAAUAUAUACAGUAUCUCUAUGUGAAGAAAUUCAUGCAACAAACUCAUUUCG